ensembl:misc_RNA Metazoa_SRP Metazoan signal recognition particle RNA
GCAAGACACAGUAGCACAUGCCUGUAGUUCUAGCUACUCAGGAGGCUGAGGCUAAAGGAUCACCUGAGUCUAGGAGUUCUGGGCUGUAUUGUGCUGUGCCCAUUGGGUGUCUGCACUAAGUUCAGCAUCAGUAUGGUCACCUACCAGGAGGGGGAACCAUCAAGUUGCCUGAGGGGUGAACCCACCCAGGUCAUAAAUGGAGCUGGUCAAACUCCCCUGCUGAUCAGUAGUGGGAUUGCGCCUUUGGAUAGCCACUGCACUCCAGCCUGGGCAACAUAGCAAGACCCCCAUC